CACCGGGUGGCUACUGUUUUACUGCUAUUCACAUUAUCUGGCCCUGUAAAAGCGUCAACUUAUCUGCUAAUGCAUGGAGUAGUUGGUCUCAUCAUGGGUACUGUUUGGAGAUUGGAGACCAACUGGAUUGUCUCCAUCAUCCUAUGCUCCAUUGUA